CUAUCAUGCAAGUCGAACGAACUCUGGUAUUGAUUGGUGCUUGCAUCAUGAUUUACAUUUGAGUGAGUGGCGAACUGGUGAGUAACACGUGGGAAACCUGCCCAGAAGCGGGGGAUAACACCUGGAAACAGAUGCUAAUACCGCAUAACAACUUGGACCGCAUGGUCCGAGUUUGAAAGAUGGCUUCGGCUAUCACUUUUGGAUGGUCCCGCGGCGUAUUAGCUAGAUGGUGGGUAACGGCUCACCAUGGCAAUGAUACGUAGCCGACCUGAGAGGGUAAUCGGCCACAUUGGGACUGAGACACGGCCCAAACUCCUACGGGAGGCAGCAGUAGGGAAUCUUCCACAAUGGACGAAAGUCUGAUGGAGCAACGCCGCGUGAGUGAAGAAGGGUUUCGGCUCGUAAAACUCUGUUGUUAAAGAAGAACAUAUCUGAGAGUAACUGUUCAGGUAUUGACGGUAUUUAACCAGAAAGCCACGGCUAACUACGUGCCAGCAGCCGCGGUAAUACGUAGGUGGCAAGCGUUGUCCGGAUUUAUUGGGCGUAAAGCGAGCGCAGGCGGUUUUUUAAGUCUGAUGUGAAAGCCUUCGGCUCAACCGAAGAAGUGCAUCGGAAACUGGGAAACUUGAGUGCAGAAGAGGACAGUGGAACUCCAUGUGUAGCGGUGAAAUGCGUAGAUAUAUGGAAGAACACCAGUGGCGAAGGCGGCUGUCUGGUCUGUAACUGACGCUGAGGCUCGAAAGUAUGGGUAGCAAACAGGAUUAGAUACCCUGGUAGUCCAUACCGUAAACGAUGAAUGCUAAGUGUUGGAGGGUUUCCGCCCUUCAGUGCUGCAGCUAACGCAUUAAGCAUUUCCGCCUGGGGAGUACGGCCGCAAGGCUGAAACUCAAAGGAAUUGACGGGGGCCCGCACAACGGUGGACAUGUGGUUUAAUUCAAGCUACCGAAAACCUUACCAGGUCUUGACAUAC
rnacentral:rRNA from 1 species